UUGAGAUCUCUAUCACAACUGCCCAGUGAGCAAAGCUGUCCACUGGGUUACUCAGCCAAAAAAGUGAAAAUAUGGAGGAUCUGGAAUUCCUCUGUCACAUUUACUGAAUCCAGCUUGAAAUUUUACAGGGCAGCUCUGGGGCCCCACCUUUGUGCAUGUCUGUAAGGAUUACAUCAGGAGUUACAGCUGAACAAGAUGCUGUUUGCUUCUGGGCAUGUUUUUAUUGUCCCAGGAAGAUUUUCCACUGAUAAGCUGUUUGAGACUACAAUCUGUAUCCCAUAUAAAAACCAGCUGGCUUAGUCACAGCUGCUGGAGUCAGGAACUGCUUUGUGGUGCCCUUGCAAACCAACCUUACAUUAUUAACCUGCCCAAGUAAAAUCUCAUGGAAAUCUCUGCAUUUCCCCUGCCAAUGCAGCUUUGGCCGAUUCACUCAGCACAAGAGAUUUCAGAAUCACAAAACCAGGGGGAGGCAGCUGCACUGCACAUGCCAAGGAAUAAGCUGGAACAGGCAUGGAGAGCUGAGCCCACCUGGCAGUUGUGUUAACCUAGGAAGGAGCUUGAUGUCCUUGAGCUGCCCCAGAGCAACAUCACAGCAAAAUUCAGAAUCAUCUUAAGCUGAAACAUCUUUCAGAAACUUAUGAGGGGGGUACUUCAAUGUGUUCCUGCAGCAGAUGUUGUGUUGGUGAUGUAGAUUCGUGGAGAACUGGAAUUUCUUCUCUGGAGUAAUUUUCUCUUCACUUUCCUGCCCAGAAUUAUGGGGACUACACAGCUUUAUUCCCUGGUGGAGCAAACUAAUGGAAAUGCACAGCACAGAAGAAGAAAGUAAAGAAAUGAAGUCACAGAAACAGCAUGGAGUCAUUAGUACAGAUCCAGAUUAUCAGAGUUCUUCUAAUUCUGAUUCUAGAGCCACCUUGGCUGCUCUUACCUGAGCUCUCUCUCUGUGCAGUGCUACUGGGUGAGGCAGCAACAUCCUCUGAUGAUGUUGUGCUUUUAGUUUCGUGCCCUGCCCAAAUGCAGAACACUUCCCUCUCUCCCAAACUCCUCUCCUGCACAGAAAGCUUCUCCCCAUUUUUGCUACCCUUAUUUCCAGAGCAUUUUGACAAAUCCGUGUUUUGGAAGCCUCAGGGAUUCCAAGCUAUGCUGUGACCUGUGGGCAUGGAUUUGUUUCAGCUGCAUUUCUGAUUCUUUAUCUGGUAUUUUGUACUGAUUCCUCUUCCAUUUGCUCUCCUCAGGAUAAUCCAGUGCAAGGCUGGGAAGGAAAAUGUGGAUUUGAUUUGGUCACAGCCAGUUAGAGCCCACUCAUCACCUUUGUGGCUCAGCACCAAGCCUUGCCAGUCCUCCACAAAAGGAACUCUGCUUUGCCAACUGCAAACAUCAAUAGUUUACAAUGCAUUAAAAAGUAUC